GCCUUUUCACGAGUCACGGAUUAAGAAAAUCAUCGAUCAUGUUUCACGGCUAAGUAAAAUAAGCGCUUCACGCAAAAAGUAUAGAGGGCCCGAUCACGUUUCACGGCUAAGUAAAAUAAGCCCUUCACGCAAAAAGUAUAGGGGGCCCUCUGUAGGAGUGAUUACGAAAAUUUCCUACUAAAUAGCAUAUUUCCCACAAAAAAAUUUUGACAGAAUUUGUCCCAUUUAUUGUUAUAAUAAGCCAAUAUUGCCCGACUGUGAAGCGAAUAUUGCCCGACUGGCUUUGUUUGCUCAACAAACUGGGGGGCUGCUUCCCCCCCUGCCCGGUAUGCCCAUGCCUGUGGAGGAGGCUCAGAAUAGAUUAUAGCGCCAUAGGGGCUAUGAAUAUGGAAGCCAGGUUGGCCUAUUGUUUUGACAAUAUUUUCAUGACCGAUGUUGUUUUGACUUUAUUUUGAACAAGUCAGUCCAGUUAGUGUUCCCGCCUUCCUGGUGUAACUGAGAGCUUGCCUUGUUCAGGUGAGAUCUGAAAACUGAGCCAGUCAGGUUGUCCAUACAAUUUGAAAGGAAU